rnacentral:rRNA from 1 species
GCAACGAGCGCAACCCUUAUUGCUAGUUACCAUCAUUAAGUUGGGGACUCUAGCGAGACUGCCAGUGAUAAACUGGAGGAAGGUGGGGAUGACGUCAAAUCAUCAUGCCCCUUAUGACCUGGGCUACAAACGUGAUACAAUGGCUGAAACAAAGGGCAGCGAAGCAGUGAUGUGAAGCGAAACCCAAAAAGCAGUCUCAGUUCGGAUUGAAGUCUGCAACUCGACUUCAUGAAGUCGGAAUCGCUAGUAAUCGCGAAUCAGAACGUCGCGGUGAAUACGUUCUCGGGGUUU